rnacentral:lncRNA from 9 species
CUGCUGGCUACACCACAGCCAGAGCAACUGGGAUCUGAGCUGCAUCUGCAACCUUCACCACAGCUCAUGGCAACACCGGAUCCUUAACCCACUGAGUGAGAUCAGGGACCAAAGCCGAGUUGUCACGGAUACUAGUUGAGUUUGCUAACCGCUGAGCCAUGAUGGGAACUCCCCAACACUUCAAUUUUAAACGCUUCAGGCUGUGUCUCCUAAUAACAAGGGCCUUCUCCUCAUAGCCACAGUGACUACAUUCAAAAUUUAACAUUGAUCCAAUAUCAUUCAAUAAAGAAGUCAAGAAAAAUUUCCCAUUUUCCCCAGCAUGGUCCUUAUAAUAUAUAUAAUAUGUAUUAACAUCUAUAUUAAGUCAGAAUUCUCUCCAGGUAUAUACACUGCAGUGUUAUCAUGUCUGGUGAUUUUCUAUUUUCUCCCUUCUCUCCACACUUAUUAGCUGGCAUUCUUUUGUAUUCUUUCCCCCCAUCACCACCACUGUUCUUUCAGAUGCUCAAAAUAACCCGGAUUUGUUCAAUAGGAACCCCCAUAGUCUGGUUUCUAUAUAAUUUUGACAUCAUCUCAUUGAUCUUUGAACACUCUCUUACUUUCUGGCACAAGUGGUUCUAGGCUCGCUUGUACUCUUCCUGUUUUAGACCUAAAAUCAGCUAUUUCUCCAAGGAGCCUCUGGUUCUUUUAGACGAAGAAAGAUAUUAAGAAUCCAAUAUCUGGCUUCUACAUGUGCUCAUUGCUAGCAGAUUAUCAUUAUUUCUAGAUCCUUUCAGUGCAUAGAGCCAAGAAACACAUUUUUCAAGAAAUCAUGAAGUCAUACUGAUACCUCCAUUUCAAAUCCAAUAUCACAGAAAUCCUUUUCUUCCCUCAUUUUAUAUCUUCUCCCAAAGUGAGAAGUCUAGUUUCCAAAAAGUUUAAGAUAUUUUCUCAUUUGCUGUAUGCUUCAAUGCACACAGAGUAACCUCAGUAUUAUUUACGACACAAAUAAAACCUAAGUAAAAUGAAAUCUUUAUCUAAAGUUCUUUCUGUUCACAAAAUAUAUUCUAUGAAGCUAUAUUAAAAAGUACUUGAACUAAUUCCAUUUUAUAUGUAGUUAUAUUUGCUGUACAAUUUGAUAUGUGAUUAGGUUCAUUUAUUUCUGUUUAUAUUCAGUUCUAAUGUUUGCCCUUUUAAAUUUUGGAUUUCAUUUUAUUUUUUUGAACGUGUAUGAUGUUUACAUGGUUCAAAAGUCAAAACUGUAUAAAACAGCAAAAGCUCAGAAAACACUCACUCCAUUCUUAUCCUUUCUACCCUUAUCAACUGUAUCUUUCCCAGGUGGCUAUGUUUGUGGCUUUGCAGGUUAUUCUUCACAUAUUUACAUUUGCAAAUAUAACAAAAUAGUUUCUUUGUUAUUAUUAUUAUUAUUAUAUAUUUUGAAAUUUAAGAAAGUGUAUAUUUUUAUUAUGGUGGUUACCUUUCUACUACUACUUUGUGGGUUUUUUUGUUUUUAUGGUCAUAAUUCCCUUCCCUUACAUCGCCUCCUACGAUUGCUUUAGACUUCCAACUGGUAUCUUUGACUCCUCCUUUGACUUCUAUCAUGCAUUACCUGUAAGCCUUGAUCAAUGGUCUUAUUUGACUUUUCCUUUCUCUCCUCCAGGGUUUUCAGCUGUUAUUUCUAAUUUAUAAGAAUAUUUGCUAUUUGUGUGCUAUUCUUCCACUUCUCCCCAUCUGUGUCGAAGUCUUAGACCUACAAUUAAGGACAAUCAUGGAUCAUUAUCAGUGCUUUUGCUGUUGUUUCCCAGUCAUCUCUUAAUAGGAUACAGGUCAUCAUCCAGGAGAUUUCUUAGGAUUGGAUCCUGAUUAUAUAUAUAUUCUGUCUUCUUGAAUCUUUAAAGCUACCUGCCUAUAAUCUUGAUAUUUAAAGGACAGCUGGGCUAGAUAAUACAACCUCGUUUUUAAACGUGGAAAUGGAAACAAUCCGAGUGACCAACGAUCAGGGAUUGUAUAAACCAGUAAAUUAUGCUGUUAAAAAAUGAAAGCCUGGUCUAUAUAGCCAUUGUACAUGCUACAAAAACUGUAGAAAAAAUAUAAAAUGAUAUAUAAAACCUAGGAUGAUCAAAUUUGUGUUUUUAAAGUGUAAGGAUGCUAUAAAUGAGUGUGCAAGUGUGUUUAGCAAACAGGGUGUGAUACAUAAGGAAGUUAACUGUAAUUUCUCUGAUGAACAGAAUUAUUGGUGAUCUUUAGAUUUUCCUUUGUACUUUUUUUUUUAAUUUUUCAAAUUGUGGCACUUGGGAUAUUAAUAAUGGUUUUUUAAAACUAGGCAAAGAGCUGAAAUUUUUGAGGUUUAUUUUUAAUGUGUUGGUUUUAAUCAAUACAAGACACAGUGUACCAAGCAAAGAGCAGCAUGAUCUAAUUCGCAAGCUCAGGACGGCCUAGGCUCCUCUCAGUGCUCUCUUGUGCUAGGUGCUCAAUCAAUGUUUGCUGGUGAUGAAGAAACUGAAAUUAGUCACUCUGGAGCAGAGUCAUUUGGGGCAACAAAGUUAACUUUUUUGAAUCAAGUUCCUGUCUUCCAGGGUUGUAUUGAGGAGGAAGUGAAACAGAAUACAUGUAAAACCACCAGUCCUGGGUCUAGUGUAUAAUAGGUACUCCUACCACUUCAUUUCAGAGGGGAAGAUAAGAUUAUUAGCACCUUGUCCUAGAUAAGUAGUAGGGAUAUAUUGUUUUAUUUAUUCUGAAGAACAGAAAAACAAUAUGAUCAGAGAGCCAGUAAAAAAAGAAAAAGCCUCAGAUAGCCUGUAAGGGUGUUACGGAGAAACACAAGAGGGGGAAGAGAAAGGUCAGAGACACAAACAUAAAUAGAGAGAAAAGACAAGACAGAAAAGGCCUAGAGAUCAUAAGAAUCUGGAAUAGUUAGGGCUUCUGCUGGCUUAUGAGUAAGAGUGCAGGAAAUCUGUGCCCCCAAAUUUUAAAUGUCUUAUAAUAACAAGAAAUAAAUGGCAUAUACACCUGCUUCUUUCAGUAACCAUUACAGGAUACUAAACUCAUCACUGACCUUGUAAUAGCUGUCUCCCCAAAAGGGCUGACCACAAAUGGCAGAGUAAUUGAAUAAAAAAAAAUUUGUGUGUGUUUUUAGGGCUGCACCUGCGGCACAUGGAGGUUUGGUGCUAAAAAGACAAAAGACAAAGAAAAAAUUUGAAUGUGACUUUGAAAACCCAAGGUUACCAAAGGAGACAGGAUGGGGGGUGGGGGUGGGAGGGAUGGGCUGGGUGUUUGGCAUGAAAAUGUUGUAAAAUUAGGUUGUGAUGAUGGUUGUACAACUAUAAAUACAACACAAUUCAUUGAGUUAAAAAAAAGAAUUUGACUGUGUAAUGUCAGGAAGCCUAGAAUACUUUAAAUAUAUCUCUUCAGGACUUACCCUCGUGGCGCAGUGGUUAAUGAAUCUGACUAGGAACCAUGAGGUUCUGGGUUCAGUCCCUGCCCUUGCUCAGUGGGUUAAGGAUCCAGGGUUGCCGUGAGCUGUGGUGUAGGUUGCAGACACAGCUCAGAUCUGGGGUUGCUGUGGCUGCGGUGCAGGCCGGCAGCUACAGCUCUGAUUAGACCUCUAGCCUGGGAACCUCCAUAUGCCACAGGUAUGGCCCUAGAAAAGACAAAAAAAUAAAAAAUUAAAAAAUUAAAAAACAUCUCUUCAAGUGCUUGUGAUAGCUAGCCAGGUUUAGGGACUCCUGGCCUGUACAUGGGGCACCAUCUGUCCCAUCUGCCAGGGCAGUCCCAGAGUAAUUACUAGCAGAGCCCCUCUCUCACAAAAAUCUCUCUGCAGAGAGGAGCAUCAUGUGUUCUCCUGCCUGCACCUCACCCCUCCCUGAAGGCUCGCUCACCGAAGGUGCUGGCCACUUGACUUCCCCCCCACAGUGAUGGCCUUGUAGCAUCUCUUCCACUCCAUGACUGAAGAUAAGACUUAGGGAAAAAACUACCCCUCGAUCUUAAAUUCACAUGAAAAUAUCCCCCAAGAGUGGAAUUCUUCCUGAGAAUGGGCUCUGACAAGUGAAGAAGAUAAAGCCUAACUCUAAGUGGGGAAAGAGAAUAGGAAGCCUGGGGCAUCUCAAAGACAGUUGCUUCUGCUCCCUCACAAUUUGGUCCAAGUCAGUGGAGAGAGCCAGAAGUGAGCACGAAUUCUACUUUAUGUCCUGGUUACUUAAAAGCUUUUGUUCAUUUCUCCUGUACCUCGUUUUGGUCCUCAAUUUCUCAGAGUCAAAAUAAGAAAAUCAUUUGAUAGUGAGGCCAUAUUGCACCUGAAAUGCUGAGAAACCAAUCAAUGCUCUCCAUUGAGUUAAUGUGUCAUCCAAUUUUGAGUGUUACCUUGUUCUGGUUUAAUCCUGACCUGUUAAAUAGUAAACAUCAUGUCAAAUAAGGGCAGGUGAAGAUAAAAAUGAUAAUGGGAGCGUUCUUAAAAGCAUUCACAUUGUAAAAUGUAAGAGAAAAUAUUUUCAGUUACAAGCCUUAUAAUAGUCCAGUGUUCCCUGUUAUAUAUCUGCCACUACAUCCCUGGGUUACCCACUUUCUUGCAGCACCAGACAGCUCUCUUUGUCCAUAUACUCCAGAUAUUUUCAUCCUUCCUGUCUUGAAAGGAAGAUGAAAGUUAAUAUUCAAGCUCCCAAAUGACAAAUGUAAAAAUCUGGUUUUCAUUACUUUCCGUCCAAACUGUGACUCUACUUCUAAAACUAAUUAAAUAAGAAAAUCACUUUCAAAUUUUCUCUGACAAGUUU